rnacentral:rRNA from 1 species
CAGCCGUAAACUAUGCGCGUUAGGUGUACUGGUGACCACGAGUCACCGGGGUGCCGAAGGGAAACCGUGAAACGUGCCGCCUGGGAAGUACGGUCGCAAGGCUGAAACUUAAAGGAAUUGGCGGGGGAGCACCACAACAGGUGGAGCCUGCGGUUUAAUUGGAUUCAACGCCGGAAAUCUCACCGGAUAGGACAGACAUAUGAUAGUCGGGCUGAAGACUCUACUUGAUGAUCUGAGAGGUGGUGCAUGGCGUCAGUGACU